CAGUAGCCACGGGAAUACAGAGGGUGCGAGCGUUAAUCGGAAUUACUGGGCGUAAAGCGCGCGUAGGUGGUUUGUUAAGUUGGAUGUGAAAGCCCCGGGCUCAACCUGGGAACUGCAUCCAAAACUGGCAAGCUAGAGUACGGUAGAGGGUGGUGGAAUUUCCUGUGUAGCGGUGAAAUGCGUAGAUAUAGGAAGGAACACCAGUGGCGAAGGCGACCACCUGGACUGAUACUGACACUGAGGUGCGAAAGCGUGGGGAGCAAACAGGAUUAGAUACCCCCGUAGUCCCUGUCUCUUAUAC
rnacentral:rRNA from 1 species